GUGCCUAAGAGCUGCCCUCCGAUGUCGCUCUUCCUUUCCCGCGCGACCGGCGAGGGAGGAGGAAGCGCGAAGAACCGUCUGUCAUGCUGGUGUGGUGGCGGCGGCGGAGCUUGCGGGCCCGUAGCUGUGCUCUGCGAGGUGCAAGAAAGCCUUUGCGGUGAAGGUGUAUGAAGGUCAUCAUGACAAAUGUUUUCCAAAAACUUGUAGAAGGCUGUGAAAAAAUGACUAGGAUCACACGUCAUGUAUUGAGCAUAUAGGUUGCUGUAGAUGAAUGGUCUUAGCUGUCAUGUUUAAAAAUACUUCUGCUUCGUUGCCUCAAGUGUGGCAUGCAACAUUUUGGAAGGAAAAUUGAAGACUUGUUCAAGAAAACAUGAACAGAAGCAAAUGAUGAAAAUGAGCAUUUUACUUGAUGUUGAUAACAUCACAAUAAAUUAUGGAGAAAAAUACAUAUUUGGCUGUUUUAAUUGCUGAACAAUAAAGUGUUUUCUUUUAAAUCAAUUCUAAAUAGCUCCAUUCUCAUAGUCACUAGUCAGACCUGUUUUGAACAUAUUUGAAAGAUUAUAUCAUCUUGUGAAUAAUUAGAUUAUUUAUGGGUGGUGAUUCUCAUUGAGGCCGACAGCUGGGGAGACAUUGCUUGUACCUCUAGGUUCCCUGUCUGGCUCCCCCUUCAGAGUUUGCUGUUGUACCAGAUGGUUGGAAUCUUAAAGCUCUUUAAUGCCAAAUAGUAAUCAAAUUCCCCCUUACA